GUGUCAGCCGCCGCGGUAUACGUAGGGUGCGAGCGUUAAUCGGAAUUACUGGGCGUAAAGCGUGCGCAGGCGGUUAUGCAAGCCAGACGUGAAAGCCCCGGGCUUAACCUGGGAAUGGCGUUUGGGACUGCAUGGCUAGAGUACGUCAGAGGGGGGUGGAAUUCCACGUGUAGCAGUGAAAUGCGUAGAGAUGUGGAGGAACACCGAUGGCGAAGGCAGCCCCCUGGGAUGAUACUGACGCUCAGGCACGAAAGCGUGGGGAGCAAACAGGAUUAGAUACCCUGGUAGUCCACGCCCUAAACGAUGUCGACUAGUUGUUGGGGAACUUGAUUCUUCAGUAACGCAGCUAACGCGUGAAGUCGACCGCCUGGGGAGUACGGUCGCAAGAUUAAA
rnacentral:rRNA from 1 species